CAGGUCACUUGGAUGCAACAAAAUGCGCGUUUGACUCGAGUCAUACCAAAGGUCGUGCGAAGCGAUUUCUAAUGCAGACGCAAGACAAGAAAACUUUGGCAUAAUUCCAGUGUUGCACUUAAAAUGGGCGGCGUUACUUUCGAGGCAAAGGUUCAAUUGACAAAAUAGUUAUCGUUUCAGGCACUGACGUUGCAGUGCGUCAACAAUACAAGACAAUGACGCAACGCAGCAUACUGUUUAGCAUCCAUUUAUUGCCACGGGAACAAACGCACUGCAGCAUGUACAGCCCUUGUCAGGUGGGAUCUCAUUCACGUCAACGUCACGUGACAGGCACCGAGUCUGGUUGUGGAUGGGCGGCUCCCACUUUCGGUGAGCCUGUACGGGCCUGCCUUCGCAGGGGGCACUCAGCAGGUGACAUGGCGAAGAAAUCAUCCCAAAGAUCCUCCUGCUGCGAAGGCACCUCAAGGCCGCUGGAAAUCACCUUGAUGUCACGAGGACGUGGACCGCACAACAGUUCCUGGAAUUUAUCGCCAAAUGGAACUUCUUUUGAGUGACUCCCUAAUCUUACCGUUAUCUUUCGCUUGUUCCUCAUGAGCUGCGUGUCAGUUGCAUCAUGCGAAUGGAACUUUUCCAAGUUAAAGCUGAUCAAAACGCUUCUGCGCUCCACCAUGAGUGAUGAAAGGCUGCCAAACUUGGCGAUACUGACCAUAGAAAAAGAACAUGUAAAAAAUAUAAACUUUACUACUGUAAUUAAUGAGUUUGCAGAAGCGAUCAAAGUGUCAGAAAGAACUUCUGAAGGAAAUGUCCUUACUGGUCAUUAGUGCAAAAGGCUCGAUGUCCCACCAUGGUUUGUGCAUCGGCAAUGUGUAUACAAUGUUCUAUUUAUCAAUUUUGAAUCGUUGUAUUAGUUUUUUAUCAGUUUCGCGGUGUUGAAUAAAAUAUAUUUCUCCUA